AACGAACGCUGGCGGCAGGCUUAACACAUGCAAGUCGAACGCCCCGCAAGGGGAGUGGCAGACGGGUGAGUAACGCGUGGGAAUCUACCCAUCUCUACGGAACAACUCCGGAAAACUGGAGCUAAUACCGUAUACGCCCUUAGGGGGAAAGAUUUAUCGGGGAUGGAUGAGCCCGCGUUGGAUUAGCUAGUUGGUGGGGUAAAGGCCUACCAAGGCGACGAUCCAUAGCUGGUCUGAGAGGAUGAUCAGCCACGUUGGGACUGGGACACGGCCCAACCUCCUACGGGAGGCAGCGGUGGGGAAUAUUGGACAGUGGGCGCAAGCGUGAGCCAGCCAUGCCGCGUGAGUGAUGAAGGCCGUAGGGUUGUAAAGCUCUUUAACCGAUGAAGAUAAUGACGGUAGUCGGAGAAGAAGCCCCGGCUAAAUUCGUGCCAGCCGCCGCAGUAACAC
rnacentral:rRNA from 1 species